CCCUGGAGAGCUCCUUCCACCGAACCCCUCCUCCAUCGGCGGCGACAAAGUGAACCAGUGUUCUUCUUCUCCUCUUCUCUUCUUCUUCUCCUCUUCUUUUCUUCUUCUCUCCAUUCUUAUUCUUCUCUUCUUCUUCGACAAGUAGCUCCGGUGGUAGGGCCGGCGACCACAGCAUCCUCUUCUUCUUCUUCGUCUUCUCCCGUGGUAGGUCCGAUCUGAAGGACGAACAGGUAUGACCGUUGCUUUCUCUUCCGUGUUAUUUUCUCUUAAUAUCCAAGCAAUGAAAAAGUUCCACCUACUCUUCAUUCCUUUUCUUCUAUCAAACUUCAUAAAUUUGGUUGGUCCAAAGGUCCCCCAACUCCAAACGAUGAGCACUCUACCCCUGUUUGUAAGGACAAAGUGGGAAAGGGGUUCUCAAAUUCACCAUUUAGUAGGGCGGUUGUACAAAUCUUCUUUGUCUCCAUCAGGAUUGGGUUAAGUAAAGGAGCUUGUUACCUUUAUGGUUGUUUGAACUUGGAAGAGGAGGUGCUAAGUAAUUGAGCAAUUCAUAUCAGACACUAGGAACUCUAUCUCUCUAAAAACAUAUCUGAAUCUCCAUACCCCUGUCUUGUUACCCUUCAACCAAAAGACAGCAAUACUUGUACCAUUAUUAACCAUUUUUACCCAUAUUAAAGAGAUAAAAUUUUAGAUUUGUUAGGAUUUGGAUCCAAUAAUGCAAAUAUGCAAUAUGUUUCUUUCCAAGUUUUUAUGACAAUGUCUUACAAUUGCAAAGGCAAUUAGCAAAGAAGCUAUUCUGGGCCCCAUAUACCCAACUACAGAAACACUAGAAGAGUACCAGACCAAGCAUUAAAAAAAUGGAGGUUAAAACAAUUAGUUCAUCCAGAUACUUCCCCUAGUUGCUUUGAAUAGGAACGUUGGGCAGCUUUGGAUUCAACAUUAUCAGACUGAUGUUUUAACUGCAUUCUAUUACCAAGCAGCCAUGGUAGGAAGUACUAGAAACAUUUAAAAAGUCUAACGACUGCAAAUCUUAAAGAGAUUUUGUUUGGGUCAAUGUUUUGGAAUUUGGAGUCAAGGAAAGUUUACUACAAAUCUUAAAGUGAUCUGUAUUUCUGUAUGACCUAAAUGUUAUCUAACAGCUGAGUUUUUUUUUUUUUUUCCAAACACUUUAUAAGUGAAUUUCUGUAUUCAUCUUUCAUUUUGAGUUUUAUAUGGUAAACUCCUAGUCCAUCUCAUGAGUUGUUGAUGUGCAUGAUUAAUUCAUCAGAAAGAGUAGACUUGUUUUUAGCUGAUGUGAAUGAUUAAUUCUAUCAUCUUAUAUAAUUUUCCUCCUUUUAGAAUUCUUAGAAUGGGUACUCAAGAUGAAGAUUGUAGUAGGCUUCACAGUGAAGAUGAAAUUCUUUCAAAUAUUGAUUGCCAUGUUGCACGUAAGUUGGUGUUUGAUGAUGGAAAUGAUAAGGAGGUAGACAAAACAAUAGAAGAACCAAGGUUGGGAAUGAUGUUUGAAAACUUGGAUGAUGCAUAUUUUUUUUACAAUGAAUAUGCUAGAAGAGUGGGGUUUUGCACUCGGAAGGGCAAGGAACAUAAAACAAAGAGUGGGGUAAUAAAAGACAAGACCUUUUGUUGUCCUGCCCAGGGUUUUCGUAAUCCCAAACCAUGAGAUGGUGUGAAAUACUAUCGUGACAGCACAAGAACUGGAUGUCAGGCACACAUGCUUGUUGGGUUGAAAGAAAGUGGUCAAUAUAGCAUUAUUCGUUUUGAGAAGCAACACAAUCAUGUGGUUGGUUGUAACUCCAAGUAAGACAUACAUGUUAAGGUCACAUAAGAGAAAGAUGGUGGCCCAAACUUCUCAGGCUAUUCUUGCAGACAAGUCUAGGGUAACACCAAAAGCCACUAUGGAGUCUAUGGCCAAUGAAGUUGGAGCUGUUGAGAAUCUGGGAUUCACUCAUUUUGAUUAUUGCAAUUAUCUGCAGACAAAGAGGCAAAAAGAUAUGGAGAUGGGAUAUGCAGGAGUCAUUUGAAAAUUUUUUGAAAAGUUGCAGAUGGAGAACUCCUCAUCAUUCCACUCCAUACAACUUGAUUCUGAAGAUCAAAUUACAAAUGUCUUUUGGGCUGAUGCAAGGAUGGUAGUUGAUUAUCAUUUUUUGGUGAUGUAAUAUGCUUUGAUACCACCUUCAGAACCAAUCGGGAUCAUUGGCCAUUUGCAUUGUUUGUUGGUAUUAAUCACCAUAGGCAAACAGUAAUAUUCGGUGCUGCAUUAAUGUACGAUGAGAUUGCUGAAUCAUUUAAGUGGGUUUUUGAAGCAUUCUUGAAUGAAAUGGGUGGCAAAAAACCAAUAACAAUCUUAACGGAUCAAUGUGCAGCAAUGGCAAAGGCCAUUCAAUAUGUUUUCAUGGAGGUUAAUCAUCGCCUCUGUAUUUGGCACAUUUAUCAGAAUGCGGUUAAACAGUUGUCCCAUCUAUUUCGGGUUUCUAAGACAUUUGAGAAUGAUUUCGGCAAUUUGAUAUAUGACUACGAAGAAGAGGAUGAAUUUCUAAAGGCUUGGGAAGAAAUGCUUUGUCAGUAUGGUUUGAAAGAAAAUACAUGGUUGAAAGGGUUAUUUGAAGUGAAAGAGAAGUGGACAUUGGUUUAUGGGAGAAACCACUUUGUUGGUAACAUGAAGAGCACUCAAAGGAAUGAAAGCAUGAAUUGUUUGUUGAGGGGUUAUUUGAAAUCACCACUGAAUUUAUCUCGAUUCUUGGAACACUUUGAAAGGAUUGUGAGAGAUAAACACCAAAAGGAAUUAGAGAUGGAUUUCAAGAUGAUUUAUAGCAAACCCCAUUUGAGUAUACAGUUAUCGAUUCUUGAAUAAGCUGCUAUGGUUUAUGCCCCUACAAUUUUCAGAGAAUUUCAAAAGGAGUACCACAACUCUGUGCUUUGCUUUGUAGACAGUAAAGUUGAGGUUGAUGAAGGGGUCAAGACCACUAUAAGCAUGUAUGGCAAAAAAAAGGUGCAUGUUGUAUUAUUUUCAUCAUUGGAUUUAUUAGUUUCAUGUAGUUAUAGAAAUUUUGAGUUCGCGGGGCUGCUUUGUUGUCAUGCAUUGAAGGUGCUUUAUGAAAAUAGGGUAAUGCAUCUUCCAUCCCAGUACAUCUUAAAAUGAUGGACAAGAGAUGCAAAAGAUGGGACUACAAUAAACUAUCAUGGUUGUGCAAUUAAUCUUGAUCCUAACCGUGGAUAUACUAUGAGGGCAACUAAACUAGUGAGGGUUUCACAAGACAUAUCUAAUCGGACUGCAGAAAAUGAAAAAGCUUUCUAGUUUGCAUUGAAGGUGUUCGAAAAGAUCUGUAUUGGAAUUGAGAAAAUAAUAAAAGCGGAUGUUUCAGUUGAUGCACAGAUUGCUCAUUCACUUAAUAUCGAAGAUGAUUCGGAUGCAUAUCUACAACAUGGCAGUCAAUUAGGAUCUUGUCAGCUAAGUGAUGUUGAUAAUUCAAAAAAGAAAGGGGACACUGACAGAAUCCAUAGUACCAUUUGAUGAUCUCACACGCAAGGGGUGCCCCUUGCUACAUUCUUCAAGCACAUUUCAACAACAAACAAGCCAGGGAAAUGUUAUAGAUUUGCAAAACUGGUGUUUUAGCACAAAUUUAGAUGGAGGAUACCAACCAACAUCUCAAGAUAGGCAAUAAGACCAUGCUAAACAAUUUUGGACUCGACAUGAGAAAUGGGGUACAAUUUCAACUCUUUGAUCGCAGAGGGAGCAGCUCCAGUGCCAGAUGCUUUGGGCAGUUUUAUGUAAUCUAAUUGGCUUUGAAGCCUUUGCUACUAGUCUAUUUAUGGUGUGAAUGAAACUGUGAAAGCCCGUUACUCAGGUCCGACUGGAGAAGGAAAUUCCGAAAGAUCAGAGUUUGAUGGGUGCUGUUUGGGCAAUCCGGAUUUGUCUGGAGUAGGUGUGGUGAGAGACAUUCAAGGUAUCAUUAUCCUUAGUUACUCAGGUCCGACUAGGGUUGUCCUGGACCAGGCUGUAAUCUGUAACUGUUUCUCCUUUUUCUCUGUUGCUGAGUGGUUUUGGUUUGGUCCUGAGAUUGUACUGUCCUUUGACCAGCCACUUAUUCUAGUGCUGCUGGCCUCUGUUCCUUUUAAUAAAAUGGCAUCAGUUACUUAUCAAAAUAAAGAAAAUUAAAAAAAAAAAUAGUAAUAA